GACGAACGCUGGCGGCGUGCUUAACACAUGCAAGUCGAGCGGUAAGGCCCUUUCGGGGGUACACGAGCGGCGAACGGGUGAGUAACACGUGGGUGACCUGCCCUCAGCUCUGGGAUAAGCCUGGGAAACCGGGUCUAAUACUGGAUAUGACUCCAUGACGCAUGUUGUGGGGUGGAAAGCCUUGUGCGGCUGAGGAUGGGCCCGCGGCCUAUCAGCUUGUUGGUGGGGUGANGGCCUACCAAGGCGACGACGGGUAGCCGGCCUGAGAGGGCGACCGGCCACACUGGGACUGAGACACGGCCCAGACUCCUACGGGAGGCAGCAGU
rnacentral:rRNA from 1 species